rnacentral:misc_RNA from 1 species
ACGAGAUCGGCGGCAACUGCGUCGAGAUCGAAUCUCAGGGCUAUUCGAUUCUACUCGAUCUCGGAUUGCCCCUUACAGCGGACGACGCCGUCCCGUCACUUCUGCCGGACAUCGCAGGGCUCACCGACGGGUCGAAUCCACACCUUCUGGGCAUUAUCCUGUCACACACCCAUGGGGAUCAUUACGGUCUCACCGGCCUCGUGCAUGCGAGCAUCCCUAUCUUUAUGGGCGCGCAGGCACAAACCAUCUUGCUCGCCAGCCGACACUUCGUCCCGCAGGGUCCUCUUCC